rnacentral:rRNA from 1 species
UGGGCGUAAAGGGAGCGCAGGCGGGUUGGAAUAGUCUGGUUGUGAAAGCCCACGGCUUAACCCGUGGAAGGUCAUUGGAAACUGUCCAACUUGAAUGCAGAAGAGGUAAGUGGAAUUCCAUGUGUAGCGGUGAAAUGCGUAGAUAUAUGGAGGAACACCAGUGGCGAAGGCGACUUACUGGUCUGUGAUUGACGCUGAGGCUCGAAAGCGUGGGUAGCGAACAGGAUUAGAUACCCUGGUAGUCCACGCCGUAAACGAUGAGUGCUAAGUGUUGGAGGGUUUCCGCCCUUCAGUGCUGGAGUUAACGCAUUAAGCACUCCGCCUGGGGAGUACGGCCGCAAGGCUGAAACUCAAAGGAAUUGACGGGGACCCGCACAAGCGGUGGAGCAUGUGGUUUAAUUCGACGCAACGCGAAGAACCUUACCAGCUCUUGACAUCUUCUGUUCACUCUAGAGAUAGAGCUUCCCCUUCGGGGGCAGAAUGACAGGUGGUGCAUGGUUGUCGUCAGCUUGUGUCGUGAGAUGUUGGGUUAAGUCCCAUAACGAGCGCAACCCUUAUUGUUAGUUGCCAGCAUUCAGUUGGGCACUCUAGCGAGACUGCCGGUGAUAAACCGGAGGAAGGUGGGGAUGACGUCAAAUCAUCAUGCCCCUUAUGAGCUGGGCUACACACGUGCUACAAUGGACGGUACGACGGGUAGCGAGGGCGCGAGCCUUAGCAAAUCCUAAUAAGCCGUUCUCAGUUCGGAUUGUUCUCUGCAACUCGAGAGCAUGAAGCCGGAAUCGCUAGUAAUCGCGGAUCAGAAUGCCGCGGUGAAUACGUUCCCGGGUCUUGUACACACCGCCCGUCACACCACGAGAGUUCGUAACACCCGAAGCCGGUUGGCCAACCUUUAUGGAGGCCGCUGUCGAAGGUGGGAUGGAUGAUUGGGGUG